UUAGACGGGGGCCCGCACAAGCGGUGAGCAUGUGGUUAAUUCGAAGCAACGCGCAGAACCUUACCCACGUUUGACAUGUCUAGUUUGAUCGGCAGAGAUGCCUUUCUUCAGUUCGGCUGGCUAGAACACAGGUGCUGCAUGGCUGUCGUCAGCUCGUGUCGUGAGGAUGUUGGGUUAAGUCCCGCAACGAGCGCAACCCUCGCUACUAGUUGCUACCAGGUUAAGCUGAGCACUCUAGUGGAACUGCCGGUGGCAAGCCGGAGGAAGGUGGGGAUGACGUCAAGUCCUCAUGGCCCUUACGCGUGGGGCUACACACGUGCUACAAUGGUGGUGACAGAGGGAUAAUCCCUAAAAGCCAUCUCAGUUCGGAUUGUCCUCUGCAACUCGAGGGCAUGAAGUUGGAAUCGCUAGUAAUCGCGGAUCAGCAUGCCGCGGUGAAUACGUUCCCGGGCCUUGUACACACCGCCCGUCACACCAUGGGAGUUGGUUCUACCCGAAGGCGC
rnacentral:rRNA from 1 species